rnacentral:misc_RNA from 1 species
GAUGAAGAACGUAGCAAAAUGCGAUAAGUAAUGUGAAUUCAGAAUUCAGUGAAUCAUCGAAUCUUUGAACGCACAUUGCGCCCGCUGGUAUUCCGGCGGGCAUGCCUGUUCGAGCGUCAUUUCAACCCUCAAGCCCCCGGGUUUGGUGUUGGGGAUCGGCUCUGCCCUUCUGGGCGGUGCCGCCCCCGAAAUACAUUGGCGGUCUCGCUGCAGCCUCCAUUGCGUAGUAGCUAACACCUCGCAACUGGAACGCGGCGCGGCCAUGCCGUAAAACCCCAACUUCUGAAUGUUGACCUCGGAUCAGGUAGGAAUACCCGCUGAACUUAAGCAUAUCAAUAAGCGGAGGA